UGAUGACAUUCUCCGGAAUCGCUGUACUGCCUUGAUGAAAUAGUCCUUGAAAAUGCCAACUGUGCAGCUACCUUAUU